rnacentral:rRNA from 1 species
UGUCUUGUAAUUGGAAUGAUGGUGACCUAAACCCUCACCAGAGUAGCAAUUGGAGGGCAAGUCUGGUGCCAGCAGCCGCGGUAAUUCCAGCUCCAAUAGCGUAUAUUAAACUUGUUGCAGUUAAAAAGCUCGUAGUUGUAUUUCUGCGUCUCCGUUUUUGACUCUUGUCUUUUUCGGUUUCGCUUUUGGGUUUCUUCCCUUUUUACUUUGAGAAAAUUAGAGUGUUUCAAGCAGACUUUUGUCUUGAAUACUUCAGCAUGGAAUAAUAAAGUAGGACUUUGGUUCUAUUUUGUUGGUUUACGAACCUUAGUAAUGGUUAAUAGGAACGGUUGGGGGCAUUCGUAUUUAACUGUCAGAGGUGAAAUUCUUAGAUUUGUUAAAGACGAACUACUGCGAAAGCAUUUGCCAAGGACGUUUCCAUUAAUCAAGAACGAAAGUUAGGGGAUCGAAGACGAUCAGAUACCGUCGUAGUCCUAACCAUAAACUAA